UGAGGAAUAUUGGUCAAUGGGCGCAAGCCUGAACCAGCGACGCCGCGUGAGGGAUGAAGGGGCUUUGCCCUGUAAACCUCUGUCGAGUGGGAAAAAGGGGCUCUUAUGGAGUCCGGGAUUGUACCACUGGAGGAAGCACCGGCUAACUACGUGCCAGCAGCCGCGGUAAUACGUAGGGUGCAAACGUUGUCCGGAAUUACUGGGUGUAAAGGGUGCGCAGGCGGGUAGGUGCGUCAGAGGUUAAAUAUUUCGGCUCAACCGAAAAAAUGCCUUUGAUACGGCCUAUCUUGAGUACGAGAGAGGAUGAUAGAAUUCCUGGUGUAGCGGUGAAAUGCGUAGAUAUCAGGAGGAAUACCAGUGGCGAAGGCGGUCAUCUGGCUCGUAACUGACGCUUAGGCAC
rnacentral:rRNA from 1 species